GUGCUUGCUUCGGCAGCACAUAUACUAAAAUUGGAACGAUACAGAGAAGAUGAGCAUGGCCCCUGUGCAAGAGUGACACUUUAAAAUGUAAAAAAGAAAAAAAAAAA
rnacentral:snRNA from 1 species